UUUUUUUUGGUGCUAGGAAUUUAACCCAGGGAACUUUACCACAGAAUUUUUCCUUUUGAGACAGGGUCUUGCUAAGUUGCUUAGGGCCUCACUAAGUCACUGAUGUUGGCCUAGAACUUUGUGAUCCUUCUGCCUCAGCCUCCCAAGUUGCUGGGAGUAGAGUCAUGUGCCACUAUGCCCAGCUGGUUCCCAUUUUAAAAUUUCAGUCUGUACAUUUUUUCAUAAGUUGAAAUGUGCAGAUUCAGUCUCCAAGCAGCUUCUUCACUGCUCAAGAGUCAAGCUGCAAUACCAGACAAAUAUUUUGCCCCAAAUCCAGAUGAAGCUAUCUACUGGUGUCAUCUUAUUUAAUUUGGAUGUAACUCUUUUUAAAAUAGUAAGUUUAUCAGUAGUUGACUACUAUUUUGACAGCUAUUUUUAAAAAUUCUAUAAAAUAAAUGCCCAGGACAUAAUUUUAUACCUUUAUCACAAAUUCUUAACUACAUUGUCUUUUUCAAUGUGCUAGAAAGUUAGUCUUCAGUCUGGUUUAAUAUCAAAAUUCCAGGGAAGCUCACCCAGAAAGAAAUAUUCUCAUAAAGGCCAAAUUUUAUCAUUAAAUUCUUAUCUUCUGAGCUCUGGAAUUUUGAGUGUGGUGAUAAUUCUGAUCUUUUGAAGCAGAGAUGAGCCCAGAUAGCUCAAAGCCCAGUGGUCCCUUUUUUCUUUUCUUUUUUGUUAUGGUAAAUGUGCAACAUAUAAAAAUAGAAUGGUAUAAUGAAGCUCAUGCAUGUAUCCAUUACCCAACUGGUACUAAGUCAAUUUACAUCUCAUUUUUCCUAAUCAAAUGUAGUUAGUAUAUUCUUUCCUGUUGGCUAUAUGGUCGUCUGACUUUCUUUAUAACCCUCAUUCACAACCUCAGGGAGGUUAUUUGAGGAAAGGAAUAGGCCUCUCUAUUCAUCUUCACUGAGAAAAGAAACCAAACUCAAAUAAAUACAUGAUUUAAAUUAUUCCCUUCCUACAGGGUACUGCAUCUUCUUUAAUUAAAGCAAUGAAUGCAGCAGGAUGCCUGAAGCCCAAAUUCCCCUUCUUAAGUGUACAGAGAUCUGCAUUGUUGUAUAUAGCAUUCCAUCUAAAAGGUAUGUCUUUUUUAAUGAUACACUGCUCAGAACUAAUUUAUCAUUCACUGUAGUAUACAUUAUAAAUAUGAUAAAUAGGAUUGUUUAAACUGGGGUGGUUGCUUCAUUGAAGAGAAAGAGAGAGAGGGAGGGGCAAAUGCAAUACAAAAUAACAAAAAAUAUCAAAACUGAAUAGCUAGUUUUAAAGCAGGGACUAUAACUAAUAUAGUUAGUUCUUAAUAAUCCAUGCCACAAAGAAAGGUGAAUAUAGACAAUUAUGGUCAAAAAUAGAAUCCUCAAAUCCUGUCUGGAAAGGACCGUCUCCUUAGCCAUCCAUCACGGUGCAACUCACUUACACACCCAGUUUUAUUUCUCUUUCAGUUAAUAACUCACUAACCUAUCAGAAAACAUUCACAAAAAUUCUGUGGAAUUUUCUACAGCAUUUAAUCCCAAAGGUUCUGAAUAUACAAGAAAAAAGUAUAAGAAGAAGAUGGAACAGUUUAUGGAGAGAUGUGAACUCAUAACGUACCUGGGUGAUAAGAUGACCAGACAAUACAAGGAACCUCAGUUUAGAGCAAUUGACUUUGAUCAUAAAUUACAGACCUUUCUCUCCCUUAAAAAUAUAGACCCACUUAGUGGAUAGUUUGCUUAGGUUUCCACAAUCUGAAUCUCAAGAGUUAUCUCCAGGUGAUAGAAGAAAGUUGAGAGAAAACUGAAAAAUCUCUCCCUCUCUGAAGUACAUUUCCUUCCCUGAGUGACGUUCCAUGGUUUCCAGAAUUCAAAUGGACUCAAAGGUCUACUAGCCAGGAAAAGUUGCUCUUCUGUAAGAAUAAGUUUGAAUAUAAUUUUAAAGUGUAUUGCUCCUUGCCUGAAACUUUGAUGCUUUAACAAAACAGACAUUUAUUUAAUUUCAUUUAGGAUAUUUAAAUAACCUAUUUUAUUUAAUAAACUUAUUUUCCUUUCUAAAUUUUCAAUAGAAAAAUCUAUCUCAGUUAAAAUUACUCAUAUAAAAUGUUAGAAAGCUUUGAGAAGCAAAA
rnacentral:lncRNA from 1 species